AUGGCGCGCAGAGGGUUGCCUCACCAACCGACAUGCCCAUUUUGCACACAAGCAGACGAGACCAUCGAACACCUGCUUUUGAGCUGCGUCUUUGUGCGAACCCUGUGGGCAAAGAUCUGCGCGGUUAUUGGAAGGCCGAACUGGGUGCCGACGUUCGAAGACACCAUCAAAGAUUGGUGCACUACCUGGAUCAGCACAGAGCAAGGACCCACGGACAUACGAACUCUGUUCACGCUGGUUAUGUGGGAGCUUUGGAAGCACAGAAAUGCCAUCGUCUUCGAUGGAGCCUUGCCAUCAGUUGCAACCCUUGCGGCAUGCAUAGUGGAAGAAGCCCGGCGAUGGCUGCAGGCCGGGAAGUUGAAAGGGAGUUGGGAGGUGCGCCUUACCGAAGUAGAGAGGUGGGAUAGGGGUGAGUAG
rnacentral:rRNA from 1 species